AGAGUUUGAUCAUGGCUCAGAUUGAACGCUGGCGGCAGGCUUAACACAUGCAAGUCGAGCGGGGAAAUGUAGCUUGCUACAUUACCUAGCGGCGGACGGGUGAGUAAUGCUUAGGAAUCUGCCUAUUAGUGGGGGACAACAUUCCGAAAGGAAUGCUAAUACCGCAUACGUCCUACGGGAGAAAGCAGGGGACCUUCGGGCCUUGCGCUAAUAGAUGAGCCUAAGUCGGAUUAGCUAGUUGGUGGGGUAAAGGCCUACCAAGGCGACGAUCUGUAGCGGGUCUGAGAGGAUGAUCCGCCACACUGGGACUGAGACACGGCCCAGACUCCUACGGGAGGCAGCAGUGGGGAAUAUUGGACAAUGGGCGGAAGCCUGAUCCAGCCAUGCCGCGUGUGUGAAGAAGGCCUUUUGGUUGUAAAGCACUUUAAGCGAGGAGGAGGCUACUCUAGUUAAUACCUAGAGAUAGUGGACGUUACUCGCAGAAUAAGCACCGGCUAACUCUGUGCCAGCAGCCGCGGUAAUACAGAGGGUGCGAGCGUUAAUCGGAUUUACUGGGCGUAAAGCGUGCGUAGGCGGCUGAUUAAGUCGGAUGUGAAAUCCCUGAGCUUAACUUAGGAAUUGCAUUCGAUACUGGUCAGCUAGAGUAUGGGAGAGGAUGGUAGAAUUCCAGGUGUAGCGGUGAAAUGCGUAGAGAUCUGGAGGAAUACCGAUGGCGAAGGCAGCCAUCUGGCCUAAUACUGACGCUGAGGUACGAAAGCAUGGGGAGCAAACAGGAUUAGAUACCCUGGUAGUCCAUGCCGUAAACGAUGUCUACUAGCCGUUGGGGCCUUUGAGGCUUUAGUGGCGCAGCUAACGCGAUAAGUAGACCGCCUGGGGGAGUACGGUCGCAAGACUAAAACUCAAAUGAAUUGACGGGGGCCCGCACAAGCGGUGGAGCAUGUGGUUUAAUUCGAUGCAACGCGAGCAGCUUACCUGGUCUUGACAUAGUAAGAACUUUCCAGAGAUGGAUUGGUGCCUUCGGGAACUUACAUACAGUGCUGCAUGCUGUCGUCAGCUC
rnacentral:rRNA from 1 species